CAGGCGCAUGCCACCACACCCGGCUAAUUUUUGUAUUUUUAGUAGAGACGGGGUUUCCCCAUGUUGGCCAGGAUGGUCUCGAACUCUUGAUCUCAUGGUCUGCCCACCUCCGCCUCCCAAAGUGCUGGGAUUACAAGUGUGAGCCACCGUGCCCGGCUCCUAAACAGUUUUUGUUUAUGUAGGUCCUAUCAAUAUUUGGUGUAUUAGGAAUUAAAACGGAAAAAAAUUAAUAUAUUUUAUUAAUAUAAUUUUUCAAAAUCUAUUCUAUGUUAAUAUAUAGGUUGAGCUGUGUCUCUUCCCAAAAUUGAUAUGUUGAAGUUCUAACCCAUAGUACCUCAGACCUUAUUUGGAGACAGUGUCUUUAAAGAGCUGAAAUGAGGUCAUUAGAGUGAGCCCUGGUCCAUUAUGACUGUUGUCCUUAUAAAAACAGAAAUUUGGAGACAGACAACUUGUCACGCAUACAGGGAAAAUGACAUUUGAAGACAAAGUCAGACAUCUACAAGCCAAGGAAUGCCAGAGAUUGCCAGCAAACCACCAAAAACUAAGGAAAGGGAUGGAACAUAUACUUUCUUGUAGCCCUCAGAAGGAACCAACUAUGCCAACACUUUGAUCUCAGACUUCUGGCUUCCACAACUGUAACAAUAAAUUUAUGUCGUUUAAGCCACCCCAUUUGUGGUAUGUUGUUACCAGAGCCCUCAUGACUAAUACAACAUAUUUUUUAAAAAGCACCUACUUUACGAAAAACAGCAUUUUCCAAAACAGAAAUAGGGAGAAGAGUGGCAUUGUAUUAUAUUUUUUCAAAUCUCCUUAAUGUCUGGCUUCACUUAAGGCAGUUGAGUUCCCAUAGCUCCAUGUUCCCAUUGCAUCUGUUACAAUAUGACUCAUCCAGCAGCCUCUGGAAAACUCUAUUGUAUAUUCCUAUGAAAAUGAGAGAGGAAUAGCACUGGGUAGUCCAGGAGAAUGGAAAAACCCAAACGACAACUAAAACAAGCAGUAGGCAAAGAAACCACAGAAUAACAAAACCCAAAAUAAGGGAGAGAAGACAGCCAAAACCCUGGUCAGGGUGACAGGUCCAUGACUCUUCCAGGCAAACCCAAAUAAGGGAGAAAGGGGGUGGUAACUGGGGUGGGGCAGGGGGAGGGUGGUGCCUGAAAUCCCCUCCUUUUCCAGAUACCGAAUGACUAUUCCACCCAUAAUUAAACACCCAUAAAAUGAGAAAUGCAAACAAUGUUGGGUGUGACUCAGGAGCCAGGAGCCCCCCCACACUUGUCUCCCGUGUUUCCUUUCACUUUGCAAUGAAAGCUUCUUGCCUUUCUGCUUACUCUGACUUAUCCCUGAAUUCUUUCCUGUGAUGGCUUCAAGAACCUGGACACCAACUGGCACUGGCAUCCGGUGACCUUCCUGAGCCCUCUGGCAACAAAAGAAAAAGCCAACAUCUCAUUAUUAUUAUGAAUUUAGUUUUGAACCCACCGAUCCCUUGAAAGGAUCUCAGGAACGCCCAGGGCUCCCUGACCCACACUUUAAGAACUACUGCAAUAGACAAACUCCUACCUUAUAAUCAAGGAGAUAAACAAGAACUAGAAAAGAAAAAAAAAAUAGGCUGGGCACCGUUUUUGUAAUUCCAGCACUUUGGGAGGCCAAGGCGGAUGGACUGCUUGAAAUCAGGAGCUCAAGACCAUCCUAGGCAACAUCACAAAACCCUGUCUCUACAAAAAAUACAAAAAUUAGCCAGGCAUGGUAGCAUGAGGCUGAGGUGGGAGAAUCCCUUGAGCCCAAGAGGUUGAAGCUGCAGUGAGCUGUGAUCACACCACUGCUCUCCAGAGUGGGCAACAGGUGAGACCCUGUCUCAAAAAAAAAAAAAAAAAAAGGAAAGAGGAAAUAAUAGGACAUCAAAAUCACAGAUUCCACACCAUUAGAACUAGGAGGAAAGCUGAGCCCAGUGACUGGCUCCAAAAUGAAUACACAGGGCCGGGUGCAGUGGCGCAUUCCUGUAAUCCCAGCACUUUCAGAGGCUGAGGCAGAUAAGAUUGCUUUGAGCUCUGGAGUUCAAGACCAGCCUGGGCAACAUGGCAAAAUCCAGUCUCUACAAAAAUUGGCCCAGUGUGGUGGCUCUCACCUGUGCUCCCAGCUACUCAGGAGGCUAAGGAUGCAGGAUCACUUGAGCCUGGGAAGUGGAGGUUACAAUGAGCCAAGAUUGCAGCACUGCAUUCCAGCUUGGACAACAGAGUGAGACCCUGUCUCAAAAAACAAAUAAACAACAAAAAAAGAACACACAGGUUUCCCCUAAAGAGAAUAGAUCUUUGCACACCUGCCCCUACCUCUCCAACACUGGUGGCCACUGUGCAGGGGAAGGCAAUAGAUCCUCCUAGUACCUUCUCUGCCUACAGAGAAGGGGAUGCUGCCUGGGAGCUUUUUGGGACUCCCAAUAGAAGACAGAUUUAGUCUCCUGGAAGGCUGCCUGAUCCAGUUCCCACAGCAGCUGCCACUUGCUCAGGUGAGUGAAGACAUCUGUCAAAAGUCAGAAUUUUAUUUUUAUUUUAUUUUAUUUUUGAGAUGGAGUCUCACUCUGUCGCCCAGGCUGGAGUGCAGUGGCGCAAUCUCAGCUAAUCGCAACCUCCGCCUCCCAGUUUCAAGCGAUUCUCCUGCCUCAGCCUCCUGAGUAUCUGGGAUUACAGGUGCCCGCCACCACACCUGGCUAAUUUUUGUAUUUGUAUUAGAGACAAGGUUUCACCAUGUUGGCCAGGGUGGUCUCAAACUCCUGACCUCAGGUGAUCCACCCACCUCAGCCUCCCAAAGUGCUGGGAUUCACUCACAGGCGUGAGCCACCACACCCAGCCAAAAGACAGAAUUUUAACAAAUUUGGUUAAAGAUCGAAUUGGCUUUUAUUUGUGAUUCAUGAAUCUGGGCAGCCUCCACUCUGCAAAACGGAAUGAGAGCUCCCACGGGGCAAAUGGUAGAAUAGUGGUUUUUGUAAGAUAGAGAAAAGGCUAAUUAGUUAACACUAGGUUACUUUUCUUGUAAGGAUUAAAGCAGAGGGGACUUCCUUAUUAUGCUGCUCAGGUAGACUGGAAAUCUGGUUUGUUUAGGGAUCUACCUGCUUAAAGUAUCAGUCUGAUUAUGUGGCAUUUAGCCUAAGUGACUCUGUCUUGGUUUGGUCUGGUCUCAUGAGGCCUAGAGCAGGAGCUCAGUCCAAAACCAUGUCCUCUCAUAAUUUUGUGUAACUUGCCUAACACCUGCUCCUUCUCAGGAACGAGGCCCAGCAAAAAGCAGAGACGGUACAGGGCCAGAAGGAUCUGAGAGAGUGUGGCCAGCUUGAGCCCUCAGGAGUCGGCCAGAAGGAUCUGAGAGAGUGUGGCCAGCUUGAGCCCCUCGGGAGUCAGCUCCUCCGUCCCCACUGGUAACGUCUUCACCCCUUCAACACGGUGUGAAGGGCCAUGUCAUGGUUGAUCUUCAGUCCCUCAGACUACACCAUCAGCCCCAUGGGGGUGAGCAAAUAACAAGUAACUAUACUGUUCCCUGCUAUGUGUCUGGCUCUUGGUAAAAUUUAAAAAAGUUAAAAAUUGUUGUGGUUUGAAUGCAACAUUUUUGAAUGGAAAUCUGCUUCCCCAUUUUUCUUUUUUAAUAACUUUUUAUUUUUUUUUUGAGACGGAGUCUUGCUCUGUCACCCAGGCUGGAGUGCAGUGGCCUGACCUCGGCUCACGGCAACCUCCGCCUCCCAGGUUCAAGCGAUUCUCCUGCCUCAGCCUCCCGAGAAGCUGGGACUACAGGUGCCCGCCACCACGCCGGGCUAAUUUUUGUAUUUUUAGUAGAGACGGGGUUUCACCAUAUUGGCCAGGUUGGUCUCGAGCUCCUGACAUCGUGAUCCACCCGCCUCGACUUCCCAAAGUGCUGGGAUUAUAGGCGUUAGCCACCGCGCCCGACCUUUAAUAAACAUUUUAAUGGACUACAACAGACCCACAGAAAAAGACACAUCACAAAGUGAACACCCACAGGGAGAAGCAAUAGGGCUGUCAGAGGCAUUCGACCCAGAGCGACUCCAUUUUGAGUGAGGGCUAGGAAAAUGAGGCUGGGCUGCAUUCCCAGAAAAGUAGGUAUUCCUAACCUCUAGAUGUUUACGGUUAAGGGAACAAAUUAAUA
rnacentral:lncRNA from 1 species